GCCGGAGUGGCGGAAUUGGUAGACGCAGUGGACUCAAAAUCCACCGCUCGUCAGGGCUUGGGGGUUCGAGUCCCCCCUCCGGCACCA
rnacentral:tRNA from 1 species